GGGGUCGUUAUGGAUUCGACAGGUGUGGGUUGUACCGUGAUUGCACUUCGUAGGUCGCGUCUACGUUAAAACGCUCAGUUUAUUAUAACUGCAAAAAAUAAUAACAAUUCUUACGCUUUAGCUGCUUAAUACCAGCUUAACGUAGAUCCGUCUAGUCUUGCCCGUGGGCUAGUAGCGGGUCCUAAAUGAAACGGGCUUGCGCUAAUCUUUUACGUUUGGAAAGUUUAGAAGAGGAUCAUCAAGCUAGCUUUACAUGAAAGCCCUGCUAUGCGGCGUUUUGUAUCGCGAAAUUUAAAUAGUAUAGAUAUGAGUGUAGAUAUUACGGUGGCAACAUGCUUGGACGCGGGUUCGAUCCCCGCCGACUCCAUUU
rfam:Pediococcus argentinicus strain DSM 23026 Scaffold20, whole genome shotgun sequence.